ACGAACGCUGGCGGCGUGCCUCAAACAUGCAAGUCGAGCGGGGUUCUGGAAGUGGGCGACCACGGAAGGGACCUAGCGGCGGACGGGUGAGUAACGCGUGGGUAAUCUGCCCAAGGGACCGGGAUAACACCUCGAAAGGGGUGCUAAUACCGGGUGACCCUGGUGCUCCGAGUGGGGGACCAGGGAUAGGUGGCCUCUUGACAAUGCUACUGCCCCUUGGAUGAGCCCGCGUCCCAUUAGCUAGUUGGCGGGGUAAAGGCCCACCAAGGCAACG
rnacentral:rRNA from 1 species